GUGUGAUGAUAGGAUUUUCUCAUAGGCAAAUAACCAACAUCACAUAUUUUUGCAAAUGGUCCAUUUUGCAAAGCAUCAUGAUUUGAUUGAAUGUUUGUAUUUUUCCCAUGCCUCCUUAAUUUUUAAAGAUUUGUUUCUGAAAUAUUACAUAUCCAAGCAGAGUCCCUUCUUUCCUUCCCAGAAGAAGGAAUUAACUGUACAGACGGUGAUAAAGACCUGAGAAUGUUUUUUGUUGAACUACAUGUUUACUUUAAAACAGUUUGAAAGCAGAAGUUUCUAAAGCAUAUCCAAAUUUAUCAAAGAGCUUGUUGAAAGUACUGUCUUUGUUUUAUUUUUCUUGCAUGGCAGUUUCCCUCCUUUGUGUUGGAUGGUGGUGGAUAUUUUGAGAUUUUUUUUUUAAUGCUCUAUAAGCAUACUCUGGGAAAAAGCCUUUAUUUGAGCUUGUGUAUCAUUUUUACCUUGAAGCAGAACUGUAUCCUUCCCUUUAAUUAAAUUCUUCCCCUUAAUUUUGUUAUCAAUUUUCCAUGAGGCUAGAUCCCUCAGACACUACCUUCUUUAUGUGUAGAAAAUUAUUUGGAAUGAUGCUGAUGGCAACCUUAUUAAAUUAGAGACUGAACAAAUCUUCCUGUCCCUUGUCUUCUCAGUUGCUCUCUCCUGAUGUUAGGGAAAAAGCCAACAGGAGAAGACUUAAUAUGAAGGUCCACUCGGAUGUAGACAGAGAUUUUAAAAUAUGAUGUCUUUAGAUUUUAAAACCAUCUUAAAAAGCUAAAUCUUCAUAAAAUAUUGUAUUUCCAAUAAUUAUUCUUACUGAAAUUCUUCUCUGAAAACUG
rnacentral:lncRNA from 1 species